ACUUACUCAAGCUAUCAUAGUUGCUGUAGCAUCUACUCCUAAUUUUCAGCCUAGUGGUGCUGAGGUAGAAAAGAGUUAUGAGAGGGCUAUAAAGUUAGGGGCAACAGAAUUUCAGGGUACUACAAACCCAAUACAAGCAGAAAAUUGGUUUCAAAAGUUGGAAAGGGUGUUCACAUUAAUGAAAAGUACUGAUGAGCAGAAGUUGAGUGUUGCCACCUUUCUGUUAGAGGGCCGGGCCCGAAAUUGGUGGUCAUAUGUUGAAAGGCAGUCGCAGGAAUCUGUAAUUUCUUGGACUGAUUUCAGUAGAGAAUUUUAUCAGCAGUAUUACUCCACUGUGUAUCGAGACUAGAAAAGAAGGGAAUUUCUGAAUUUGACUCAAGAGAAUAUGACGGUAGCUGAUUAUGAAGCAAGGUUUAGUGAAUUGUCUCAGUUUGCUCCAGCUUUUAUAGCAGAAGAAAAAGAAAAGUGUAGAUUAUUUCAAGAUGGAUUGAGGCUUGAUAUGAGGGCCAAAACAAGAAUGCAUGGCUAUAAUAAUUUCUCAGAAUUGAUAGAAGGGGCUAUCCGAGCAGAAGAUAUUGAAAGGGAGUUUUAUGGGCGGAGGCAGGAGAGGUUCAAGAGGAGUGCACAAAGUUUCUCCUUAGGUGGAGGGAGUCAUCAGCCACCAAGGAAGACUUUUGUGGUUGGGCAGCCUAAUCAAAAUUUUAGGAUGCCAGGAGAGUUAAGUAGAGAUUCAUUUGCUUUUACUAGUCUUGUACCUAGGAGACCAGAACAAAGAGCUGUACCACAGCCAGCAGAAAGUAGAGUUACUGGAAGAAGGGAGAAUCAAGGUAGCUUGAACAGGGGAGUUAGCCCAGUAACUACCUCAGUUAGUCAGAUUCCUCGGUGUAGGACUUGUGGAAAGUUAUACCGUGGAAUGUGUAGAGAGGGGUUCCAGGGAUGUUUCCGGUGUGGCCAAAUGGGCCAUCGGAAAAGAGAUUGCCCUAGGAAUGUUCAGGACAGUGGUCCUCCACCAAGAUCUUUUAUCUCACAAGAACUUCCAGUGAAGGGCAGUAAUUAUAAUGCUAGUACACCAACAAAUAGAGUGGAGACUAAUAUGAGCAGGCAGAACACUGUGCAGGGCCGAUGAAGAGCUGAGGCCAGAGUAUUUGCCAUGACAAGACAAGAGGCUCAGGCUACUCUUGAUGGGGUGACAGGUACAUUAUCUAUAUUUGAUCAUGAUGCAUACAUAUUGAUUGACCCCGGGUCUACACAUUCAUAUCUGUCACCAGCGUUUGCUAUGCAUACUGAUAAAAAUUUGAGUCUAUUAGACUGUAGUUUGAUGGUGUCUAUACCAGUGGGGGAGCCAUUUAAAGUAGAGCAUGUGUACCAAAAUUGUUCAGUACGGGUAGGUGAACAUGAGUUGGUAGCAAACUUGAUACCUUUAGAUAUGCAUGAUUUUGAUGCUAUUUUGGGUAUGGAUUGGUUAGCUGCACAUCGAGCCAAAGUAGAUUGUUUUAGGAAGGAAGUAAACUUUCACAUGUUAGAUGGCAGGGAGAUAUAUUUUUCAGGUGAACGCCGAGUGCUUCCCUCAUGUAUUAUUUCAGCUUUAGUGGCAAAUAUUUCCCUUAGAAAAGGGUAUGAUGCAUAUCUAGCCUGUGUGGUGAAUACAAAGACUAGUAAGCUGAACUUAGCAGAUAUUCCAGUGGUCUGUGAGUACCCAGACGUUUUUCCAGAAGAACUUCCGGGGUUGCCACCAGAUAGGGCAGUAGAGUUUGGUAUUGAUCUGAUUCCAGAUACCAGACCUAUAUCCAGGGCACCUUAUAGAAUGGCUCCAGUUGAAUUAAGGGAGCUUAAGACUCAGUUGCAAGAAUUGCUUGAUAAGGGUUUUAUUAAACCAAGUAUUUCACCUUGGGGGCCCCCCGGUGUUGUUUGUUAAAAAGAAAGAUGGUACUAUGAGGUUGUGUAUUGAUUAUAGAUAGAUUAAUAAAGUAACCAUCCGAAAUAAUUAUCCAUUGCCUCAUAUAGAUGAUUUGUUUGAUCAGCUCCAAAGAGCUAGAGUAUUUUCAAAGAUAGAUCUCAGAUCAGGAUAUCAUCAGCUUAAGAUCAAAAACGAGGAUGUAUCAAAGACAGCUUUUAGGACCUGGUAUGGUCACUAUGAAUUUCUAGUGAUGCCGUUUGGUCUAACAAAUGCUCCAGCGGCUUUUAUGAGUUUGAUGAAUCAAGUAUUUCAGCAAUACUUGGAUAAAUUUGUGAUUGUGUUUAUUGAUGACAUAUUAGUAUACUCCCAAGAUGAAGUAGAACACAGAGAACAUUUGAGGACUGUGUUGUAGGUGCUUCGAGAGAACGGCUGUAUGCUAAGUUGAGUAAAAGUGAGUUUUGGCUGGAUAAAGUGGGGUUCCUUGGUCAUGUGAUUUCAGCAGAGGGUGUAUUGGUGGAUCCACAGAAAGUGGAUGCUAUUGUGAACUGGGAAUCACCCACUAGUCAGACAGAGGUAAGAAGUUUUAUGGGUUUAGCCGGUUACUAUCGAAGAUUUAUUGAGAACUUUUCAAUCAUUGCCUCCCCAAUGACCAAACUGCUUAGAAAGAAUAUAAAAUUUGAAUGGACUGCUGAAUGUCAGAAAAGCAUGGAUGAAUUAAAGAGUAGGCUGACCACUGCUCCUGUGCUUGCCCUGCCUUCUAGUGAAGGAGGUUAUGUGGUUUAUAGUGAUGCUUCCCGCAAAGGGUUGGGGUGUGUGUUGAUGCAACAAGGAAAGGUAAUUGCAUAUAUUUUUCGACAACUUAGACCCCAUGAAUUGAAUUACCCUACACAUGAUUUGGAACUUGCUGCAGUGGUAUUUGCUCUCAAAGUGUGGUGACACUAUUUGUAUGGGGAAAAAUGUCAGAUAUUCACAGAUCACAGAAGUUUAAAGUAUAUGCUAACCCAGAAAGAGCUAAAUUUGAGACAGCGAAGACGGGUAGAACUUAUUAAAGACUAUGAUUGCACAAUUGAGUAUCAUUCUGGAAAGGCUAAUGUAGUGGCAGAUGCAUUAAGCCGGAAGUCUACAGCCACCUUGUCUCAUAUUAAGACGGUGUAUUUGCCAUUAUUGACAGAAUUGAGGAUGUUGGGUGCUGAGUUAUCAGUGGGAGAUUCUAAAGCCUUAUUGGCUAGUUUUCAGGUUAGACCUACAUUGGUGAAUGAAAUACAUACAGCUCAGACUCAGGAUUCACAAUUGGUAAAAAUUUUUGAGGCUGUUCAGAAUGGAUCUCGAACAGAUUUUAUAAUCAAAGAAAAUGGUAUUUUGAUGAAUGGGAACCAUGUUUGUGUUCCAGGGAUCGGUAAUCUUAGAAAACAAAUAAUGGAGGAAGCUCAUAGUUCGGCUUAUGCUAUGCAUCUAGGAAGUACUAAGAUGUACCGAACCAUUAAGCAAAGUUAUUGGUGGAAUGGUAUGAAAAGAGAAAUAGCUGAAUAUGCAUCUAAAUGCCUAGUAUGCCAACAGAUUAAAGCAGAACAUCAAAGUCCAGCUGGAAAACUGCAGCCACUACCUAUCACAGAAUGGAAGUGGGAACAUAUUACAAUGGAUUUUGUUUUGGGUUUUCCAAAAACAAGUAAAGGUAAUGAUGCAAUUUGGGUGAUAGUUGAUAGACUAACUAAAUCAGCUCAUUUCCUGCCUAUCAAGAUAGCAUUUGCAUUGGAUAGAUUAGCAAAGCUGUAUGUGGAUGAAAUCAUUUGUAGACAUGGGGUUUCUAUUUUAAUUGUGUCAGAUAGAGAUCCUAGAUUUACUUCACGAUUUUGGCCAAGUUUACAAAGAGCCUUGGGCACCAGGUUGAAUUUUAGUACUGCAUUUCAUCCGCAGUCUGAUGGACAGUCUGAAAGAACUAUUCAAACUUUAGAAGAUAUGCUACAGGCAUGUGUGAUAGAAUUUUUAGGUAGUUGGGAUGAAUACCUACCAUUAAUGGAGUUUGCAUACAACAACAGUUAUCAUUCCAGUAUAGGCAUGGCACCUUAUGAGGCCCUUUAUGGUAGAAAAUGCAGAACUCCAGUAUGUUGGGAUGAAGAGGGAGAAAGGAAAUUGUUGGGCCCAGAAAUAGUACAGAUCACCUCAGAUCAGAUAAAAUUGAGUAAAGAAAGAUUGAAGGUAGCCCAGGAUAGACAGAAAAGUUAUGCAGAUCCAAAACGGAAAGAUGUAUAUUUUAGUGUAGGAGAUAAAGUUUUUCUCAAAGUUUCCCCUUGGAAGGGUAUACUGAGGUUUGGAAAGAAAGGAAAAUUAAACCCAAGGUUAUCCGGGCCAUAUGAAAUAAUAGAAUGUAUUGGGCCAGUAGCGUAUCGCUUGGAACUACCACCAGAACUCUCCCAGAUACAUAAUGUGUUUCACAUUUCAAUGUUGAGAAAAUAUACUUCAGAUCCCUCUCAUAUUUUGUGGUCUGAACCAGUUGAAUUAAAAAGAGAUUUAUCUUAUCCAGAGAAGCCAGUGCAGAUUCUGAGUAGAGAAGUGAAACAGUUGCCCAAUAGAGUUAUACCCCUAGUUAAAGUGCUCUAGCAGAAUCAAAAUGCAGAAGAGGCUACUUGGGAAAGAGAAGAUCAAAUGAGAAAAAAAUAUUCAUAUAUAUUCCAGAUUUCAGGUAACUAAAUUUCGAGGACGAAAUUUUUUUUUUGUAGGGGAGAAAUGUAACACUCUGAAACAGGGUUAGGGUAGCUUAAGUAAUUUUUACUAGUUAUUAAGCAUUUUCAUGAUUUUAACCUAGUUUAUUAUAAGAAUCCGAAUGCACAUGAAAGGUGAGGGAAUAUCAAAAAUUUUGUGAUGCAAAUUGGAUUGGAAUUUCCCAGGAAGUUUGAUUCAAAAUCAAUUCAAAAAGGUCGGAAUUUCAGCUGUUACAGAAAAUUUUACGGUUCCACGGAUUGAGAGUGCAAUAACUCUGGAUAUAGUCCAUGAAUCUAAGUAAAAUUUUAAACACAUAAUCUGCAUUGAGUGAGGGAUUUACUCUUGAAAUUUCAGCUCAAACGGAUUAGCCUACAGCCUGGAACAAAACAAGUUAGUUGAGUCCCUCGGAAGCCUGUCAUUACAGAAAACUGUAGACCUAGAUUUGUCCAAAAUUUUAGUAAAAAGUAGGAAGCAUGACGUGGCCUGAAACCUAGUUUUUAAAACCCCUGGGAACCACUCUUUUGACUCGUUAGGUAUCUGGGAAGCUAACGUGUCAAGAAGGGGGGGGGUGUCUAGCGUGUUUUCAGCAGGCAGCAACUUAUGCUGCUGCUGUUCAACCGUUAGGAGAAGUUUAGUUGUUGGUUGUAGGUGCCAGCCCAAAUCAGGCCAGGAAAAGCUCCAGGGAGGGAGAGAGGAAGCUAGGGAAGAGAGAGAGCUACUUGGGGAAUCCAAAGAAUUUGUGGAAGAAGGUUUAAAGAAAAGAGGAAGAGCAACUUGCUGUUGGGCUGCAGAACAGAAAUACAGAAAUUCUGGUGCACCCAGGCUUCCCAGCGAAUUUUAGGAGGAGAAGAGAGUCCUGGAAGUGUGCCAGGAGUAUCAAGCACUAGGGUGGUGCAUUAGCCAUCACAAGGAUAUGGAGUAUUCCUGAGCUGGUCGAAGUAAAUGGAGAGGCUUCAUCUGUGGAAGGUAUCCAAAGGAAACACUCAAAAGUUUCUAUGAAGUGUGAAAAGAAGGAAACCUCUGUUCGUGCUGGAGAUAUUCUUAGUCAAGUUUCGUUGACUCAUGAUGUAAUCAUAUCUAGAGACUUGAUCGUACGGGAUUGGGGGAGUGCGUUAGAAUUUUCGACGAUUCCUUCAGUUAGAUUAGCUUGGACAUUUGAAUUAUGCUGGCAUAUGCUAUUUUGAAAUUUUAUAAGACUGUUUUUGAAUAAACGACUUAAUUAUUGAUUGGUCCUUUAGUUAGAUUAGCUUGGACAUUUGAAUUAUGCUGGCAUAUGCUAUUUUGAAAUUUUAUAAGACUGUUUUUGAAUAAAUGACUUAAUUAUUUAUGUCAAUUUUAAGUAUUUAUAUUCGCUUCGAUAUGAUCAGCUGCCUUGCACACCUGUGCGGCCCGCCGUGCGGGCGUGCGGCGUCUGUCGUGCUCCGGGCUCGGGGCGUGACAGAUUUGGUAGUAUCAGAGCUCAGAUUUCAGAUUCCUAGGGAUUGUGUUUGAAACAGUCAUAUUUGAGCCUAAGUUUUAAGAUCCUAGGAUUCGUUGAAAAGUUUGAGAGAUGGGUAGGAAUGAGGAAAUGAGACACAAAUUUUGUUUGCUUUUGAUAUUGGUAAAUUUGUGUUAUUUUAUCUGAAUUUUAUUUGUCAUGCUUAUUAAAAGCCGAAUGCUAGCUAACUGUGCUAGUAGCCAAAGUGUGAAUAAAUUAUUUUGAGAGAGUUUUCUUGAUGGAGUAAUUUGCAUUUCAGGUUAUGAUUAAAUAAGAUUUUGAUAAAAUUAAGUGAAGGAUUAUUAACCAUGGAAUAUUAUUUUACAUUGUAAAUUAUUAGCUUAUUUGCUAUAUAAGUGAAUUUGGAAGUUUAACUUUAUAUUGGGUACUGUGAUGUUACUUCUAGCUUGAAGUCAACUAUUUUGGUGAGAAGUUAAGGUUCGUUCAUAAAAAGUUGUUAAUAUUUGAAUUUGGAAAGAUUUUAUUAUAUUUAUUAAAAUAUUUUUUUGAGGUUAAAAAUCUAUAUAUGGAUCAUACAUGAAACUUUUACAUAUAAGAAAAAUAUAUUUGGGAUGAGACUUAAAGAAUUCUAAUCUGGCUCUACAUGAGACUUGAAACAAUUAAGAUUGAUAUUCUGUUGGAAAGUCAAUUAGUAAAUCUUGAGAAUAUUGGUGGAUUAAAAUGUUUUUGGGUUGGUCGAAAAUAGGACUUGUUUGAUUUGGAAAAGUUCUUGAUGCUUUCCUUUUUAAGAAGAAAAAAAAUCAUUGAAAAGUAUAGGAUUUUGAUCGAUAUGGAUAUCAUUGUGUUAUUAGUAGAUUCUCUAAGUCUAGUAGAUUUACAAGAUCUCGAAAUGUUUGUAGUAUUGCAAAUAAAACUAUUUUACUUAUUUGAGGAAUUGAUCUCAAUGUAAAAUUAUAGAGCUUAUAUCUUGGUGGAAUUUCUUGUAAAUCUUUGAACUAGAUUAUUAGAUUCUUGUGAGUUAAAUAUUUAUAAAUCAAGGCCAUGAGUUGAUUAUGGAUUUUGUAUCACCACAUGAGAAAUGCAAGUGGGCUUUCAUGAGAGGCCCUAAUAAGUUUAGCCUAAAAGAAAAGAUUCGGGAUGAUUGAGUAGGCUCCUGAGUAAGUUAAUCUAGAAUCUUUUAAUUAUCGAAGCUUAGAAUAAACAUCAACUUGUAUAAUGGAAUUGUCAAGGGAAACUAGAAUUGGCUUAGUUCAAAUUUGGAUCUAGAAUAUGAUUACUUGAUCAUAUGAUGGUACAAAUACGACAACUAUCUCAAAGGUUAAUCAUGACUUAGUGUACUUGGGAAGCAAGGAUAAAAUUUUGCUUGGAUAUUAUAAAAAAAAAUGUUGAUCUGGGAUCAUUAAGAAAUUUUGGAGAAUAUUGAUCAGAGUUGCGCAACGAAAGUAUGAUGGACUGAAUCAAUUUAAACUGGUCAAAAAUAUUGACUGUGUUUUGGAAACAUGUUAUGAUGAAGGACUAUGUUGUUCAAUAAUGAAAGAUUUUGUUAAUAAGGGAAGGUGAAUACUAUUGAUGCUCAGGUCAAUCAUGAUAUGAUUAUGUUAUCUCUUGGAUAGACUUUGCCAUUUUUGGGUAUGUUAAGAAAAAUUUGAGUAUAUCAUGACCAGGAUUGGUUGAUCAUUGAUUAAAUAUGGUCUAAUUUGUUAUGUAUCUGAAUAAAGCAUAAAGCAUGCAUUAUUUGCUCCCAUCUUAUAAUUUAUAAGUUAAAAGCUUUGUGGCAUAUUGAAUCACGAUAUCAAUACUCUGCUUUCUCAAAUUUGCUCUUGUGAUUUGAUGCCAAUCAUUUUCCAUAUAGACCAUUGUUGCCUGAUAACUAUCAUUACAUGUUCAUUUUGUGAAUCACAUUCCAAACUAUAUAAUAAUUUGACUCUACGGUUGGUCAUUAUCCUUUGUGGAAUCAGCACACUACCAUGAUAAGUGUAUGAGAUCUAUUUCAUUUCAAGUUCUACCCCAAAUACAAUUCAUUUUAUCGAUCCUGUUGUGAAACGAUCCUGAUCUGAUCUCGAGUGAACAUGCAUCAAGAUGAUAAUUUCAAUUUGAGAUUUUAGUUAGUCACUUAUCUAGUGCUAAUCUUGUGAGUUUAUAUGAAAUUUUUGAUAAUUGAUCUAAAGCUAUCUAUCACACUGAUUUUGAUCGGAAAAAAAAAUGAGAUCUUGGAUUUAUAUAACUCAAUGGGCUGAACAUCUUUAAAGUUGGAAGGCCAACAUUCUUCAAAUUUCGAGGACGAAAUUUUUUAUAAGAGGGGGAGAAUGUGAGAUAACGCCCCUUUUGGAAGGGGCCAAAGUAGGGGAUCGCUGUGCGAUCCCUUCCGGCUUCUUCGGGAGUAGAGACAUCGUGGGCAACCUGCGGCUGCAUCGCGGUCGCCCGCGUCUAUCCUGCGGCCGCACGAGCGGCCGCUGAUUUCGCCCCCACCGUGAUUCCCGCGGUGGAGAGCCGUUGAAAUGGGGUGAUAAAAACCUCCAUUUUCUCCUCCUGAAAUCACCAACCGAGCCUUCUCCUCCUUCCUCACCUCCGGCCACCGCCUUGAGAUCUGAUAAGCUCUCUUUCCCUUCUCCCUCUCUGUUUCUUUCGAGCCCUGUUCUGAGAUUUGUAUCGCCAUUGGAAGCACCCACCAAACGCCGCCGCCGCCGCUUGACUGUCGGAUCGAGCGGCCGCGGUCGAGAUCUCCCUCCCACCGCCACUGCCAUCGCUGGUAAGCUCCCUCCGCUCUUCGAUUUCAAGCUUAAUUAUGCUAUAUUUUCCCUAUUUCGGCCCCAUAAACUGAGACCUCAUUUCUUUCUCGACCCCUGAGGAUCCUAGUGUGAUUUUGAUGUUUACAAAGCCAUUAAGGUCAAAUGGACAGACUAAUGCUUUUAAUUCAAUUGAUCUAAUACAUAAGUAAGUAAGGAAGAAAGAUUUGAUACAUCCUUGAUACGCUUUACUUGAUAUAUUUAAAAGAACUUUCAAGAACACAUCUAAAACAAAUUAUAUUGGAAGAACUUGAGGAAAGAACUAAUUUAGAGUUUAAUAUACCUUAGAGUCAAGUUCUUUUGAUUGAAGCUUAACUCUGUCAUUUACAUGCUUAAUGAGCUUAAACUUUAAUGUGUUAAGCAUCCUAAGGAGUAAGAAAUGAUUUGCAAUGUUGUUACUUCUUUUAUAUGUUUAAUGUGCAAAUCUAACCUAAAGAUGCAGAAAAACAGGGUUAGAGUCGACCUCAGAAGAGAUGGAGUCGAUCCUGGCACAAUUUGGCACAGAUCUCAGGUCGACCCCAGAAAAGCUCGGGCCGACCCCAGCUCGGGUCGACCCCAGCUUCAGCCAUCUGAAAAUACAGCCUUCUGGAAUUUCUUGAGAGGGCCGACCCCAAGUUUCCUUGA